GUUUGGGAUAGCUCCGUAGGUACAGCAUAAGACUCUUUAUCUCAGGGUUGUGAGUUCAAGUCCCAUGUUGAGCA